GUAAAGGACGGGGGGGGAGCGGGGGUGAUGAGAGGGGGGCAGAGGUUAGUCGGAAUGACGGGGCGGAGAGGGGGGUGAGGAGGGUAUUGAAGUCUGCGGUGAAAGCCCCGGGCUCAACCGGGGAAUGGCGGUGGAUACGGGAUAGCUAGAGUGUGUCAGAGGAUGGUGGAAUUCCCGGUGUAGCGGUGAAAUGCGUAGAGAUCGGGAGGAACAUCAGUGGCGAAGGCGGCCAUCUGGGACAACACUGACGCUGAAGCACGAAAGCGUGGGGAGCAAACAGGAUUAGAUACCCCGGUAGUC
rnacentral:rRNA from 1 species